rnacentral:rRNA from 1 species
GAUGAACGCUGACAGAAUGCUUAACACAUGCAAGUCUACUUGAAUUUGGGUUUUUUAACUUAGAUUUGGGUGGCGGACGGGUGAGUAACGCGUAAAGAACUUGCCUCACAGCUAGGGACAACAUUUGGAAACGAAUGCUAAUACCUGAUAUUAUGAUUUUAAGGCAUCUUAAAAUUAUGAAAGCUAUAUGCGCUGUGAGAGAGCUUUGCGUCCCAUUAGCUAGUUGGAGAGGUAACGGCUCACCAAGGCGAUGAUGGGUAGCCGGCCUGAGAGGGUGAACGGCCACAAGGGGACUGAGACACGGCCCUUACUCCUACGGGAGGCAGCAGUGGGGAAUAUUGGACAAUGGACCAAGAGUCUGAUCCAGCAAUUCUGUGUGCACGAUGACGUUUUUCGGAAUGUAAAGUGCUUUCAGUUGGGAAGAAAAAAAUGACGGUACCAACAGAAGAAG